CCUACGGGGGGCAGCAGUGGGGAAUAUUGCACAAUGGAGGAAACUCUGAUGCAGCGACGCCGCGUGAGUGAAGAAGUUUUUCGGUAUGUAAAGCUCUAUUAGCAGGGAAGAAAAUGACGGUACGUGAUUAAGCAGCCCCGGCUAAUUACGUGCCAGCAGCCCGGGUAUUACGGAGGGGGCAAGGGUUAGCCGGAUUUACUGGGUGUAAAGGGGGCGUAGGCGGCAGCACAAGUCUGGAGUGAAAUGCCGGGGCUUAACCCCGGAGCUGCUUGGGAAACUGUGCGACUAGAGUGCAGGAGAGGUGAGUGGAAUUCCUAGUGUAGCGGUGAAAUGCGUAGAUAUUAGGAGGAACACCAGUGGCGAAGGCGGCUUACUGGUCUGUAACUGACGUUGAGGCUCGAAAGCGUGGGGAGCAAACAGGAUUAGAUACCCUGGUAGUC
rnacentral:rRNA from 1 species